ACCUGGGUGGCUCAGUCAGUUAAGCAUCUGACUUCAGCUCAGGUCAUGAUCUUGCGGUUUGUGAGUUCGAGCCCCACAUCAGGUU
rfam:Felis catus isolate Cinnamon breed Abyssinian chromosome B1, whole genome shotgun sequence.